rnacentral:rRNA from 1 species
UCCCCAGACUCCUACGGGAGGCAGCAGUAGGGAAUUUUGCGCAAUGGGGGAAACCCUGACGCAGCAACACCGCGUGAAUGUUAAGCCCUUCGGGGUGUAAAGUUCUGUCAAUAGGGACGAAUUUUGACUGUACCUAUAAAGGAAGCACCGGCUAACUCCGUGCCAGCAGCCGCGGUAAUACGGGGGGUGCAAGCGUUGUCCGGAAUCAUUGGGCGUAAAGCGUUCGUAGGCGGUAUGUCAAGUCUGAUGUUAAAGCCCGGGGCUCAACUCCGGUUCGGCAUUGGAUACUGGCAAACUAGAAUGUGGUAGAGGUAAAGGGAAUUCCUGGUGUAGCGGUGAAAUGCGUAGAUAUUAGGAGGAACACCAGUGGCGAAGGCGGCUUACUGGACUGUAACUGACGUUGAGGCUCGAAAGCGUGGGGAGCAAACAGGAUUAGAUACCCUAGUA